rnacentral:rRNA from 1 species
GACAGAGGGUGCAAACGUUGUUCGGAAUUACUGGGCGUAAAGCGCGUGUAGGCGGCUCGGCAAGUCGGGUGUGAAAGCCCUGGGCUUAACCUAGGAAGUGCACUCGAAACUGCCAAGCUUGAGUUCUGGAGAGGAAGGCGGAAUUCUCGGUGUAGAGGUGAAAUUCGUAGAUAUCGGGAGGAACACCAGUGGCGAAGGCGACUACCUGGCCUGUUUCUUGACGCUGAGGCGCGAAAGCUAGGGGAGCAAACGGG